CAGUAGCCACGGUAAUACGGAGGAUUCAAGCGUUAUCCGGAAUCAUUGGGUUUAAAGGGUCCGUAGGCGGUCUUGUAAGUCAGUGUUGAAAGCCCAUCGCUCAACGGUGGAACGGCCAUUGAUACUGCAGGACUUGAAUUAUUGGGAAGUAACUAGAAUAUGUAGUGUAGCGGUGAAAUGCUUAGAGAUUACAUGGAAUACCAAUUGCGAAGGCAGGUUACUACCAAUUGAUUGACGCUGAGGUACGAAAGCAUGGGGAGCAAACAGGAUUAGAUACCCCAGUAGUCCCUGUCUCUUAUAC
rnacentral:rRNA from 1 species